UUGAUUUCAUUUUUUUUUUUUAGUUUUUUGUUUUUUUUUGCACGCGUGUGGCCAUAAAUUUUGACAAAGAAUCGGAAAGAAUUUGAUUUUUUUUUUGUUUUUUGGGUUGUGUGUGCGUUCAGAUUUGCUCUACUAUAUGCCAUAGAGAAAGAUAUAUAUAUAAGCAGGCGAAGGAGGCGCGGUCCUAAAAAAAAAAUCAUCAGUAGCAGCGACAGAUGCCUGCUGUCAAAAGUUCUCCUUCUUCUUCAACACAAAAGG